UACGUAGGGUGCGAGCGUUAAUCGGAAUUACUGGGCGUAAAGCGUGCGCAGGCGUUCGCCAAGUCAGGUGUGAAAUCCCCGGGCUUAACCUGGGAAUUGCGCUUGAAACUAGCGGGCUUGAGUGUGGCAGAGGGGGGGGUGGAAGUUCCACGUGUAGCAGUGAAAUGCGUAGAGAUCCGGAGGAACACCAGAGGCGAAAGCGGCGCUCUGGGCUGCACCUGACGCUGAACUGCGAAAGCCAGGGGGAGCGAACGGG
rnacentral:rRNA from 1 species